rnacentral:rRNA from 1 species
AAAAACAUGGCCUUUUGACUAUAAUUUAAGGUCUAGCCUGCUCAAUGAGUUUUAAAUAGCCGCAGUAUCUUAACUGUGCAAAGGUAGCAUAAUCAUUAGUUUUUUAAUUGAAAGCUGGAAUGAAAGGUUGAAUGAGAAAAUUACUGUCUCUAAAAAAAUUUUAUUGAAUUUUAUUUUUAAGUAAAAAAGCUUAAAUUUAGAUAAAAGACGAGAAGACCCUAUAGAGUUUUAUAUUUUUUUUAAAAAAAUAUUCAUUUAAGUAUUAAAAAAUUUGUUUAAAUUCAAUAUUUAGUUGGGGUGAUUGGAAAAUUAAUAAAACUUUACUUUAAAUAUUACAUUUAUUUAUGAAAAAAUGAUCCUUAUUUUGAGAUUAUAAGAUAAAAUUACCUUAGGGAUAACAGCGUAAUUUUUUUUGAGAGUUCCUAUCGAAAGAAAAGAUUGCGACCUCGAUGUUGGAUUAAAAUGCAUUUUUGGUGUAGAAGCUAAAUUAAUUAGGUCUGUUCGACCUUUAAAAUUUUACUUGAUCUGAGUC